GGAGAGGUCGCAUAGUGGCCUAGUGCGCUCGCUUGGAAAGCGAGUAGGGCCGAAAGGCUCUCGGAGGUUCGAAUCCUCUCCUCUCCGCCA
rnacentral:tRNA from 1 species